rnacentral:lncRNA from 1 species
UGUGUCGUUCUUUACUGCUGCACACACCUUCCUCCACAUGGUGAAGAUACAUCGCUCCUGACAGCCUCAUGCCUGACUGGACACUGAAAAAGAGGUGAAGAGAUAAGAGGAGACAGAACAGAAGAACAGAAAGAUAAUGAAACUGAGACUAGGUAAGUGAAAGCAUAAUUAUGUAUGCAGCCGCAAGUGGAGCACAAAGCAAUUACUGCUUGUGGAAAUUUGAGAGAUGCUCUUUGAAGAGGUGUGAGGGAAUCAGUAAUACUUGCAGUGACAUUUAAGGAGGUGGAGUGUGCUGAUGAAGAUGCCACAAAGAACUGAUGGGAAGUUAUUCCUCUCCCCAACUGCUAUUGUAUCCUUCCUGUAGUGCUGUCUCUGCUUUUUGCAUCUUGCCCAGUAUAUUAUGACACAAAUAAAAAUUCUCUUUUCAUCAUCUUGCAA